GUGGAUUAUAUACCCGGGUAGUCCACGCCCUAAACGAUGUCAACUAGUUGUUCGGUGAGGAGACUCAUUGAGUAACGCAGCUAACGCGUGAAGUUGACCGCCUGGGGAGUACGGCCGCAAGGUUAAAACUCAAAGGAAUUGACGGGGACCCGCACAAGCGGUGGAUGAUGUGGAUUAAUUCGAUGCAACGCGAAAAACCUUACCUACCCUUGACAUGCCAGGAACUUACCAGAGAUGGUUUGGUGCUCGAAAGAGAGCCUGGACACAGGUGCUGCACGGUUGUAGUCAGCU
rnacentral:rRNA from 1 species